rnacentral:lncRNA from 1 species
AGCUACAUCAUCAUUAUUAUUAACUCAUUCUUAUCCUCAAGAUUAGUCACUCAUUUUAAAUCCAAGGAUUUCUUCCUAACUCCACUAUCUUCAGCCUUAAAAAAAAAAAAAAAAAGAUAACCCAUACAGAAAUGGUGGGUAAAAUUAUGUUGGAUGUGCAUGCUCGUACUUAAUAUCAUUCUUAACCAAAUUUACCAUAUGCCUCAGCGUUGAAACUUGCAUAUUUUUUAUAUUCCAUACUACUAACGUGUUUCCAUGGAUCAAUGCCCGUGUUUCCGGCUGAUGUGCCCAGUCAUAGCACUAUAUAUACAGUCUAAAGCUUUCCAUUUGAACAGCAUCUCCCUCUCUCUCCCUCUCCCUCUCUCUCUCUCCCUCCAUGCACCAUAUGAUCAUAAUCGUCUCUGGAGGAUGAAUAGGGAAACCCUUGAAGGAGUAGUUCUAAUGUUGCUCUCAAAGGACAGGAUGGGCGGCAUGAAAAGUUUGCUGAGUGAGUGACAGUGAGUGCAUAACCCCAUGAAAUGAACCAUUGCUUCCAUUUACUUGGCAUCUAAUUAAAGUGAUGAUCGCAUAUCCUUUUGGCCUAUAAAUUAUAAUGGCAGUCACUUCCGUUCUUUCCAUGAACAUCCUCUGCUGUCUUGGUGGAUUGAUUAGACCACACUUCUCAUCGAAGAUGGGAUUCAUAAAUAAUUCAUGAAAGUGAGGAUCUAAAAUAAGCUAAAACCGUGUUUCAAGCUCCAUGAUUAACGCUAAAAUAACUCUCUUUUUCUUCCUUCUGAACCGCGUAGUGAUUGGGGUGAGCAAUAAUAUUUAAAUAAAAGAACAUGCAAAUAAGCCUACCCCUGUAAUCUCUCAACACUCCCCCUGUACCUGACUUUUCUGGUUUCUGAAGUGAUGUGUCAUGGUUUCCUUGUUAUAGAAUUCAAGAAAAGAGACAGGAAUAGAAGAAGAAGAAGAAGAACAAGAAGAACAAGAGGUUGUAAAGAAGAGAGAUUACAUGAACUGUUCUUCAAUUAUUGCAUUGACUUU